ACGAACGCUGGCGGCGUGCCUAAUACAUGCAAGUAGAACGCUGAAGAGAGGAGCUUGCUCUUCUUGGAUGAGUUGCGAACGGGUGAGUAACGCGUAGGUAACCUGCCUUGUAGCGGGGGAUAACUAUUGGAAACGAUAGCUAAUACCGCAUAACAAUGGAUGACACAUGUCAUUUAUUUGAAAGGGGCAAUUGCUCCACUACAAGAUGGACCUGCGUUGUAUUAGCUAGUAGGUGAGGUAAUGGCUCACCUAGGCGACGAUACAUAGCCGACCUGAGAGGGUGAUCGGCCACACUGGGACUGAGACACGGCCCAGACUCCUACGGGAGGCAGCAGUAGGGAAUCUUCGGCAAUGGGGGCAACCCUGACCGAGCAACGCCGCGUGAGUGAAGAAGGUUUUCGGAUCGUAAAGCUCUGUUGUAAGUCAAGAACGGGUGUGAGAGUGGAAAGUUCACACUGUGACGGUAGCUUACCAGAAAGGGACGGCUAACUACGUGCCAGCAGCCGCGGUAAUACGUAGGUCCCGAGCGUUGUCCGGAUUUAUUGGGCGUAAAGCGAGCGCAGGCGGUUUGAUAAGUCUGAAGUUAAAGGCUGUGGCUCAACCAUAGUUCGCUUUGGAAACUGUCAAACUUGAGUGCAGAAGGGGAGAGUGGAAUUCCAUGUGUAGCGGUGAAAUGCGUAGAUAUAUGGAGGAACACCGGUGGCGAAAGCGGCUCUCUGGUCUGUAACUGACGCUGAGGCUCGAAAGCGUGGGGAGCGAACAGGAUUAGAUACCCUGGUAGUCCACGCCGUAAACGAUGAGUGCUAGGUGUUGGAUCCUUUCCGGGAUUCAGUGCCGCAGCUAACGCAUUAAGCACUCCGCCUGGGGAGUACGACCGCAAGGUUGAAACUCAAAGGAAUUGACGGGGGCCCGCACAAGCGGUGGAGCAUGUGGUUUAAUUCGAAGCAACGCGAAGAACCUUACCAGGUCUUGACAUCCCGAUGCUAUUUCUAGAGAUAGAAAGUUACUUCGGUACAUCGGUGACAGGUGGUGCAUGGUUGUCGUCAGCUCGUGUCGUGAGAUGUUGGGUUAAGUCCCGCAACGAGCGCAACCCCUAUUGUUAGUUGCCAUCAUUCAGUUGGGCACUCUAGCGAGACUGCCGGUAAUAAACCGGAGGAAGGUGGGGAUGACGUCAAAUCAUCAUGCCCCUUAUGACCUGGGCUACACACGUGCUACAAUGGUUGGUACAACGAGUUGCGAGUCGGUGACGGCGAGCUAAUCUCUUAAAGCCAAUCUCAGUUCGGAUUGUAGGCUGCAACUCGCCUACAUGAAGUCGGAAUCGCUAGUAAUCGCGGAUCAGCACGCCGCGGUGAAUACGUUCCCGGGCCUUGUACACACCGCCCGUCACACCACGAGAGUUUGUAACACCCAAAGUCGGUGAGGUAACCUUUUGGAGCCAGCCGCCUAAGGUGGGACAGAUGAUUGGGGUG
rnacentral:rRNA from 1 species